rnacentral:rRNA from 1 species
AACGAACGCUGGCGGCAUGCCUAACACAUGCAAGUCGAACGAGACCUUCGGGUCUAGUGGCGCACGGGUGCGUAACGCGUGGGAACCUGCCCUUAGGUUCGGAAUAACUCCCCGAAAGGGGUGCUAAUACCGGAUAAUGUCUUCGGACCAAAGAUUUAUCGCCUUUGGAUGGGCCCGCGUUGGAUUAGCUAGUUGGUAGGGUAAAAGCCUACCAAGGCGACGAUCCAUAGCUGGACUGAGAGGAUGAUCAGCCACACUGGGACUGAGACACGGCCCAGACUCCUACGGGAGGCAGCAGUGGGGAAUAUUGGACAAUGGGCGAAAGCCUGAUCCAGCAAUGCCGCGUGAGUGAUGAAGGCCUUAGGGUUGUAAAGCUCUUUUACCCGGGACGAUAAUGACAGUACCGGGAGAAUAAGCUCCGGCUAACUCCGUG